UGGACUGUCCUGGAAUCUGCUCUGUUGUGGGAGGCUCUCACAUCACCACCUAAGAUGGAAAAACCUUUAGCUUUAAUGGCAACUGUGACUACAUCCUCACUAAGGUGAGCACAGUAACUGUGUUCGAGUGAGGAAUACGACCCAAAUACUUGUUAAUGGCUGCACCUCCAUUGGGCCUAUAGAAGUGACUUCCUGCAGUGGUGACUGUGACACCCAGUCAAUGUAUUCCAUGGAGGCUAACAAAAUGAUGACCAGCUGCUCUUGUUGCCGAGAGAGUAAAAUCAGCACUAAAGAAGUGAAGCUGAAGUGUCCCGAUAACAGCGAGAUCAUGUACAGCUACGGCUACACUGAGAGCUGUGAAUGCACACUAACAAAGUGCAUAGACUAGAAUACUUCUAGCAUAAAAUGUCUUUCAGUUUUUGCCUUGAUUACUGUUGAUUUAAACAUUAUCUGUUGAAUAAGAAAGCUAUUAAAAUAAUUUAAGCGAUUGUAGUGCAUAAUUCACAAACAUUACUUUAAUAGGGUGCUAACUUUAGGGAAUUUUGGGAACUAUAUUUUUCUGCUUUAGUUUAAUAAUAUAAA